rnacentral:lncRNA from 1 species
CAUAUCCUGCAUCCCUUCACUUCGUCAUCAUCAUCUUUGUCCAAGAGAUCAAUUCUUAGUCCUAUCUUCAGAUGGCCUAUAUCAGUAUCUCACAAAUCAAGAAGUGGUUUCUUUGGUCGAAAAUUUCAUGGAGAAGUAUCCAGACGGAGACCCUGCACAGAGUUUGAUAGAGGAACUUCUUUCUCGUGCAGCCAAGAAAGCAGGUAACUGAUAGACACACACAAACAUUCUCUUAUUUAAGCAUGCUCUUACAAGGUCUUUGCAUCAUGAUUCAUGAGAAUCUUUUAGGAUAUUGCUCUUAGAAAUGACGUCAAAGAACAUCUAGGUUAUUUAUCAGCAUUUGGCAGUGGGUCUUGCAGUAAAAAGGAAGACCAAAUUUCACUUUAGUAUUGUUUUAAGAAGUCCGUUAUUCAUGAAAGAAGAUUAAUUUUGCCGCUGGCUUGUAUUCUAAAUAUAACAAGUUGAUGGUGUUUACAGGGAUGGAUUUUCAUGAGUUACUGGACAUCCCACAAGGAGAUCGUCGAAAGUACCACGAUGAUGUUACAGUGAUGGUGAUCUCGCUAGAAGGACGAAUUUGGAAAUCAUCAGGAAAAUACCUCUAAAUCAGAAGAGCUGAAAGCCAGCAACAGCAGCAACCUUGAUAACAUAAUAGAAGGAAGGGAACAGUUUUUUUUAUUCUCAGCUUGCUUCCUGGCCGCAUGGUUACUGAAGAAGUGCAUCGAAGGGUGGGUGGUGUACAGAGAUGAAAAAGAGGGGUAUUAGCUAAGUCGGAGAGUUGGAUUUAGGUUUGCUCGUUAGGAAUUGGGGAGGAAAGAAGUUUUGUUUGGAUUUCAUGUCCAUUUUUUUUAAUUUAAAAUCCAUCUUCUUAGAUUAUCUUACUCCUCUUUCAUUAUAGGAUCCAUGGAAAGAGG